CUUUAUUGUUUAAGUUUCACAUUCCUCCUAGUUAGAGGCUAGCCUGUAGCCUCGUCUCCAUGGUUACUCUCUGACCUCAGCCCUCAGAACUUCCCGCCCUUACUUGUUUAUAAGCAACCGCCUUGUAGCUAAUAAAGGAGACUUGAUCAGAUCCUCGACUUGUCUCCAUUCUUCGCGUCUCCUGUCUCUCUCUUUUAAUCCCCACUCCUUCCCUAGGGUCUCCAUUGCUCGUCCCGGGGGUCGGGACAAACCGGCGCCCAACGUGGGGCUCGAGUACGAGGGACACAGUGAGGGACGCCGUCGAGGUCAGCCGGCACAGGAUUAAGAAACCUGGAGGAAAGAGCGUCGUGGGAACCUGCCACGGACUCGAGCUCCGAAACAUGUGGACCUUAAUAUUGAUAUCCCUGAUAAUCACUCUCAUACCUAAGACCGACAGUGGAUUCGGAUCACAAUAUGAUGUAAGAUCAACUUGACUCCCUAGCCGAAGUAGUCCUGCAAAACUGACGAGGCCUAGAUCUGCUCACCGCCCAGAAAGGAGGACUGUGCCUUGCAUUAGAUAAAAAAUGCUGCUUUUAUGCUAACCGUUCUGAUGUUGUCAGAGAAUAAGAUAAAAGCCCUGCAAGAAGACCUGGCAAAAAGAAGAAAAGCACUCUUCGAUAAUCCAUUGUGGGGAGGGUUGAAUGGGUUCCUCCCCUAUAUCCUCCCCCUCCUCGGCCCUUUUGUCAUUUUCCUUCUACUCCUCACUGUUGGACCUCUUAUAUUCAACAAGGUCAUGGCUUUUGUCAAACAACAGAUUGACUCCAUAAAAAUGCAGCCCCUACAGGUCCUUUAUCAUAAGCUGGAAAUGGAGUUGGAUCAAGGCUACGGUGGAAGCUUGAUAAGCACCACCAACCGUUUCUGACAUUGCCUGAUGAGCUGGACCAGUUAGCCAAUGACGGGCAACCUGAGAGCCUAGCAGUAAGAUGCUCCCGCCUAAGACAGGGGACCAGGAUAUGAAUCCCGCUCACCCUAUGACGGGUAAGGGUAAAAAGCAUCACUGCAGGUGUAUCUCUUGACCUAAGACAGGCAUGGUCCCCACAGGUAAUCGGCCACACAAAAAUUAAAUAAAAGAGGGGGACCUGUGGGGAGCAGUAGCCAUCUUGUAACUAUGUUGCUUAAGCUUUUGUUCCUCUUACCUAAACCUCCAUCUUGUGGGCUUCCCUUAUUGUUUAAGUUUCACAUUCCUCCUAGUUAUGAGGCUAGCUUGCAGCCUCAUCUCCAUGGUUACUCUCUGACCUCAGCCCUCAGAACUUCCCACCCUUACUUGUUUAUAAGCAACGCCUUGUAGCUAAUAAACGGGACUUGAUCAGA